UAAGGAAUAUUGCGCAAUGGGCGAAAGCCUGACGCAGCGACGCCGCGUGGGGGAUGAAGGUCUUCGGAUUGUAAACCCCUUUCGGGAGGGAAGAUGGGAUGGGGUAACCCAUUCGGACGGUACCUCCAGAAGCAGCCACGGCUAACUUCGUGCCAGCAGCCGCGGUAAUACGAAGGUGGCAAGCGUUGUUCGGAUUUACUGGGCGUACAGGGAGCGUAGGCGGUUGGAUAAGCCCUCCGUGAAAUCUCCAGGCUUAACCUGGAAAGUGCAGAGGGGACUGUUCAGCUAGAGGAUGGGAGAGGAGCGCGGAAUUCCCGGUGUAGCGGUGAAAUGCGUAGAGAUCGGGAGGAAGGCCGGUGGCGAGGGCGGCGCUCUGGAACAUUUCUGACGCUGAGGCUCGAAAGCGUGGGGAGCAAACAGGAUUAGAUACCCUGGUAGUCCACGCCUUAAACGAUGGAUACUAAGUGUCGGCGGAUUACCGCCGGUGCCGCAGCUAACGCAGUAAGUAUCCCGCCUGGGAAGUACGGCCGCAAGGUUGA
rnacentral:rRNA from 1 species